rnacentral:rRNA from 1 species
AAUAGAUACCCGGGUAGUCCACGCCGUAAACGAUGAGUGCUAAGUGUUAGAGGGUUUCCGCCCUUUAGUGCUGCAGCUAACGCAUUAAGCACUCCGCCUGGGGAGUACGGUCGCAAGACUGAAACUCAAAGGAAUUGACGGGGGGCCCGCACAAGCGGUGGAGCAUGUGGUUUAAUUCGAAGCAACGCGAAGAACCUUACCAGGUCUUGACAUCCCACUGACCGGUAUAGAGAUAUACCUUUCCCUUCGGGGACAGUGGUGACAGGUGGUGCAUGGUUGUCGUCAGCUCGUGUCGUGAGAUGUUGGGUUAAGUCCCGCAACGAGCGCAACCCUUGAUCUUAGUUGCCAGCAUUUAGUUGGGCACUCUAAGGUGACUGCCGGUGACAAACCGGAGGAAGGUGGGGAUGACGUCAAAUCAUCAUGCCCCUUAUGACCUGGGCUACACACGUGCUACAAUGGAUGGUACAAAGGGCUGCAAGACUGCGAAGUCAAGCCAAUCCCAUAAAACCAUUCUCAGUUCGGAUUGCAGG